rnacentral:lncRNA from 1 species
AAUUAUUAAGCAUGAGUGGAGACUAUUUAGGCAUCAUUAAGGAUACUAAGCUAAGCCAUUAUCUGAUAAGGGAAAGCUAAACCAAGAAUAACUUCCCUGCUUAUCUUCAUUCCAUGUCCAUCCAUUCCAAACCAUUUCCUCCUAACCUCUCCUACUCACAUGCUACCAACAUCAAAGUUCUACCAACUUUUACUAAAAAUCCAUCUCUGUGUACUCUCUUAAGCCGAUUGAAGGAAAAUUGAGGGGGUGACUAAUGAAGAAGCCUUGAAGCAAAGUGUUUGGGUUUAUUAAAUUUCAAAUCGACUCGUCUCACAGAGUCACAGGUAUGCAUUUUGUUAAUUUUAAAUCCUCUGUCACGUUUUCUCUCUCCAUACUCUAUCACCGUCGGCUGAAGCAAAAAAAAUUGGGGGUGAUUGCGGGAUAAAUUUUGAAGCAAACUAGUUUGGGUUCAAUUAAUUUCAAGUUGAAUCCUCUAACGUGUAUAUCUUUGUUAAUUAAAGUGUUAAUUAGCAUAUCAAAGUUAUACAGUUAAAACACCAUUCCUUACUUAUUCUUGUGGACAAAGGCAAAACUAUACAGUUAAAUAACUCUUUUGAAAGUCUUGUUUUGGAGGAAGGGGAUUCUCAUAACUCAAUGGUCAGGGCACUUUCGUUAGAAAAUUUAACCAAAUCUGUAAAAAAAAAAAUACUAAAAAGGGAACUAAAAGGAUUGGCUACUGUAGAAACUGGGAUUGUUGCUGAUAGUGGGGGUAAUAAUUAUUUACCUCAUUCUCAAUAAUUAAACUGUGUGCUUGGAUUGUUAUGGGUUUUAAUAAAUCCCGUAAAUAUAGAGAUGUUAUUGAUUUUAUAGCUGUAAAUAGAGUUUCUUUAUUAUGUUCGGUAGAAACAAAAAUCUCUCAAGUAAAAGUUAAAAAAAAUUAAAUUAAGUAUUAAGAAAUUUGGUGUGGGUUGGGAUCAUAAUGCUCCUGUAAAUGAAAGGGCCUGAAUUAUUGUUUGUUGGGAUGGAAAUGAAUUUGAUGUAUCCCUUAUUAUGUUGAAUACUCAAGUUAUUUUCUGCAAAGUGACUGUGAAGGGAUUAUCUAAAUCCUAGUACAUGUCUUUCGUCUAUGGUUUAAAUCCCAGUUCUACUUCAACUAUUAAAAAAUCUCAAGUUUCAAAACAACUCAAUUGAAAUGCUAGAAAAAAAAUAGUAUCAUUAAUACGUUUAUGAUCCUUUAAUAUUUAUAAAAAUUUAUAAACUUCAAAUGUUGAAAAAACUGUACCAUUUGAUUUUAGUAAGAGUUCUUUCAAAUAUAUCAUUGUUAUUCAGUGGAAUAUAUAAUUUUUUGCAUGGUUAAUAAGGAAUUUAUUGCAAGGGCAGGAUAUGCUUCUUAUUACCACUCUAAGCUUUGGUGGGUUAAGGAAUCUUCUUUUGAAUAUCCUAGUAGAGAUUUAUGAGGGAGUCACACAAGCAGGAGGUGUAGCUCUUUCUGACAAGGGCUCUUGGGCUAGAUGAGUGGCAUAUCGCUGGUUUUCAUGUUGACUUAUUACUGGUCAUCAUUUUGAUUUAUAUUUCAUUUGAUUGAUUGUCUUUGUAAAUAUUUUUACUUGUUUCUUCAACAUGAAUUGAUCACCGUAAAUUCCCAAAUUAUAUUUACUUGUUUAUAUUUCAUUUCAUUUACUGGUUUUCUGAAAUUAGCCCAAUGUGGCCGGGUGAGUUUCUCCUAUUCAUUACACCUUCCUUCAUUUAUCUACGUACAUAUUUUUAUUAUAUAUACUAGGAUUGUCUUCCAUCUGGAUUCUUUUUUGCUAAUUUUUUCAAAUCAUGGGUUGCUGUUUGUAAAUGAUGAUUUUUUAUAAUAUAAAAAGUGUGUUUAUGUAUGCCCAGAUGAACUUUUGCUGGAGUUUUCUUUUUUAUAAUAUAGAAAGUAUGUCUCUGUCUGUAAAUUUUUGUCUCUAUUUUUUGGGUUAUUCAGUCAAGUUGAAAUAACAGGUUCUCUCGUUGUUGUUGUAAUAUGCCCUGCAUAUUAUUUUCUUUGAAUUUGGUACACCACCAAGUUCUGUUUGGCUUACGAAAUCAUAGAAAUGUGUUUUUAUUAGUUUGUUUAUAAAUUCCAAGUUUACACAUGCAAGAAAAUUUAGUUGAAGAGUAAUUAAUCAGAAGCUUAAACUUUGAGUCAGUAGAAUAUGCUACCUAAUGAAAUAAUUAAUCAAUCAGCGUGGUUUGCAUAACUAAAAAUUGUACCUAGUCCAUUUUGAUCCGUUGAAAUAUGUUUUUUCCAGAAACAAUACAAAUCAGAAUAUCUGAGCUCAGAAUUUGGUUACAUAGUAUUCUAGAAUCUUUGUUUCUUGCUUAGCUAAAAAUAAGAAUUAUUGAUUAUGUGAAGCUGAAAGAAGGGAAAUUAGCUCUAUGUCUCCAUUGGUAUUUUGUCUUGUACACUUGUAUUAUAUUUGUAAGCCCAUACUUUCUGUUCUAAUGGUCUUGUAUCAUAUUCAUACCACAAUGCAUUUAAUAUCAUUCUCGUUUUUAUUUUGUGUUUGUCUUGUUUAUUGAAGUUUCUGUUGUACUCUGGGGGUUCUUGAUUUUGCAUCGUGAUAUCUUUUGUAUUUAGCACAAACAAAAGUAUGAUUUCAACAGUAUAAAUGAAAUAAAUAGAAAACUUUUGUUUAAGUUAUUUGUUUGAACAACCAAUUGUCCUUGUUACGUUUUUGUCCUUGAUUAAAGUUCUACAUGACGGGUAGCUGUUAAAAGGUAGUAUUUCACACUUCAGUAAUUUAGUUUGGUUUUAGUGGGUGCAUUAAGUCCUGCUUAAAGACAAGGAACUAUAUAGCCAUAGUUGACUUGCCCUCUUUUCAAAAUAUGUGCCAAUGGAUUAGGCCAUUAAGGUCACUUAAGGGAGGGUGUACAUAGUUUAAUUUUAUUUGGGUUUGUGACGGUGGAACUUUUUUGCCUCUCAAGGGGAAUGCAACUUCAUUUUUCACUUCUGUUAUCAAUGGUUAAGCAUAAUGGUUCUUAGUUCUUACUUUGAUAAAUAUUGAUACGUGGGUCAGCUGAUAAUCUUCUGAAAGUAUUCAUAGAAAAGAAUUCAUAUGGAUGAAUAAGUAUGUCAAGUUCCCCCCUCUUUUUCUUUCCCAUCCUCCUUCAAAUCUGUUAAUUUGGUGAAUAGGUUGUUCAUUCUCCCCCUCUGCAUCACAUGACAGUCCUUGCAUUGAAUACCAGAGGAGGGGCUGGUUUUGCUGCUUUUUUGUUGUUGGCCUUGUUGCUUAUGCUCGUUACUUUUUAGCUCAUGUUGGGUUGGUGUCGGGUUAAUUUUGUGUGGCUGCUUCCCUGCUGGCUUUUUGCUGGUGCCUGGGUUUUGGGUUGGCACGUAUCUUGGGCUGGAGCAUUAAUAAGUGUAAUGUUUUUGAAAUUUGCAUUGUAAAAGAAAAGAUAACUUCCAUGAUAACGAAAACUGAAAAGAUUCAAUUACCUUAGGAACUCCUUACACAUUUUGUAGACACUAAUAUACAAUAUAACUGUGUAUAUAAAAACAAGUCACACUCUAAAUAUUGAAAGUGAUUGGGAUGGCUUGUGGUGCAAAUUAUGAAAAACUUGCUGCUACUUGAUUAAAUACCUUAAAUUGACAAUAUAAUUUGGUUAAGUUCAUUCGAUAGUUGGUUUAAGGAUUCAUCACUCUUUGAACAAACCAAAUCUUGAUUUUGGACAGAGGAUUGUUUAAAAUUAAGUACAGAAGUCCAGAAAUUCAAUAAUGUGGGGACUGAAAAAGAAAAAUAGAAGCUUUAUAUCAUUUACAACUGAUAAUAGUAUGCUAAUUGUUCUAUCCCUUUAAUAGCAUGUUUUGAAGUUUUAGUGAGCCUGGUAAUAGACUAUUGAUUUUGAUAGCAGUUAAAUGAUAUUUUAGAUGUUGGCGACUGCUGUUUCUCUUGCUCCUGGGGUGGCUGGCAUUGGGCUACUGGUUACUGCCUUUGUCAGGCUUGGAGGCUUACUUGGUAGGUUGUUAGGCAGUUAGGAUAAUAAUAGCUACUGCCUUGUUACUGUUAUAUGGUGGGUAUCCUGCAGUGGGGAAGCUUUAAUGCUAUAUACUUCAAUUCCUUAAUGUUUUAUACUUCAAUAAUUCAAUAUGGUGGGUUUGUUAUUGCUGAUUGCAUAAGCACCACGCUGCUGUAACAUUGCUGGUCUGGGUUGCUAUUAUGCAGUCAGUAUGAGGCUGGCUAUUGGUCAUGUUGCUGUGUGGGGUGGCUGCUCGGGGUUUGCUGCAGCGUUACUUCUAUUGUUAUGCUCAGGGACAUGCAGUCUGUUGUUAUGCUAAUUUCAGUUAUGGGUUGUGGGCUAGGUUGGAGGGGCUGGUGUGGGCAUUCUCCUUUCUGUUGCUGCGCAUGGGGUGGUGGACUGCAUGUCCUCUGUUUUGGUGCUGCUUUGGUGCGAGAUUUUUUUGGCUGGUUUGUUAUGGUUGUUUUUGGUUUUCACUUGCUUAUGGGAUCGCUUUAUUCCGUGCUUUGAUGCUGCUAGUUUUUUUAUGUUUCAAUUCUUAUUACAGUAUUGUAACUUCUUGUUGGGCUUGAGGCCUUGUAAUCUUUUAUAGUCAUGACAUCAUGGGGCUUGUCCUAUGAUGUCUAUGCUAUAUCUUGAUUGAGGUUCUCUUAUGAGAUUGUAAUCUUUUCUCUUUUAAUACAAUCUAAAUUUAGCAAAAAAAAAAAUCUUCUUUGUAGUUGAAGUAACAACUUCUGAAGUUGUUAAAUGUUUGAUAAUAUUAUCAAUCAUACCUCACCUUACAAUGUUAUUAGAGUAAGCAUAUUGUAACUCUUAACUUGUGUCUAAACAUUUACUAUUUUCAUUAACU